GAAGAAGAAGAAGAAGAAGAAGAACCCUUAUGUUACCAGCCUAAAUUGAUAGAAUUAAGGAAGUUUUUAGUUCCCCUGCUAAUUCACAGAUAUAUAGAAAGCCUGCAUUUUUCAACCACCUUUGGCAAUUUGCUUUCAGUAGUUCAACAACUCCUCUGUGGACACCUUUUUAAUGUCUGUCUCGGUCUCUGGAUGUUGUGUAGAGGACGUCGACAAGACGAAGGCAGAUUUGUUCUCUGGCUCAAAAGAAAUGGCGAGCGAAGACUCGAUUACGAAAUCCGAGCACUACCACAGGAGUUACAGAGUGUGGACAUCAAACUGCAGUCAUUCUGGUCAAACUGAUGUUCUGCUGAUGAGGAGUGCAACACUUCCUGUUGCAACGCACCCUGUAUCUGUUUUUUUCCACAGUCAGUGGUCAUGUGUGUCAUUCCCCCAUCUGAGGCUGUGUGGGCACAAUCUUGUGACCCUGUGCUAAGACUGAAUCUAGUGGGACUCCAGAUGUCUGAGAAAAACUCUGAAUGUCAGCAAAAACUAUCCAUGUAAGAGAAUAAUAAUAUCUAAGUCUGUUGAGAAAUGACUCUGACUUUAGCCAAGCUUUCUAAAAAGUUGAAGUGACAGAUUCCAGUGAACAACAGACAUAUGUCAAAGCACAUUCUUUAUGUUUUUAAGUGUAAAGUAAGCGGUAGCAGCACCUGCUUAGAGUGCCAUUUUGAAUCCAUUAGCAUGCUUUCUUUACAGUAUCACAGCCUCUUAAAAUAAUGCAUAUAAAGAUAGUUAUGAGAACAGUGACACCUCCGUACAGCAGGCCCAAAGACUCGACGGGUCAAACUAUGUGUCUGUAUAUUAAGAGGUGCCAGUGUAACUGUUUGCGUGCUUGUGUGUGUUUAAACCAUCACAGAUAUGUAUCUUGUGACUGCAUUCAGACGGAAAACUGUGAAGAGCCCAGUUACACCCUGUGGUGGGACAAACCAGAAAAGCAGUACUUGGUCAGAGCUGCUGCAUGUCACAAGUUUGUUACUUUACAGUGUGACACUUAAGGUUAUAUAAACAAAGCUGCUAACUUCAUUUUAUGCACUACAUAUUUAACUUGAACUGUUGAUUUUACAGAGUGAGAUUAACCUAUUUAGAUACUGCUGCGGGGACACCAUAGUGUGUUAACUUGUUCAGUGCAGCAGAAGUAAUUUACAGCAAUAGUGUUCAUCCCAAAGUUAGUGUUCUUUGCAUUUGGUUAUUUGGAUUGGUUAGCUAAGUUUAGCACAAAGACUAAACAUAUGGUACACAGUAAGCCUUGUUUGAGUCACAUUUUGAUGUUGAAUUUUCUUGCUUUUAGUUGCAGCAAGUUUAGCUGAUUUUCCAGCUAUUUCCAGUCUUUGUGUUAAGCUAACCAGUUGUGGCUGUAGCAUCAGUUUUUAAAACAGAAACAGGCGUAAUAUGCAUUUCCUCAUGUAACUUUGGGCAAAAAGGCAAGGGCUUAAAAUGAACCUUUGUGUGACAAUAUCACUCUGUCAAAAUAAAAGCACUAAAGCAAGA